rnacentral:lncRNA from 1 species
AAUACUAAUUACUAUAAAUAAUAACCAGAGUAUUCUAAAACUUCUCUAAAGGCACAAAUGCUAUAGCAUUUCAUUACUUUAUAAGAUGCAUCAAGUCCUCCUUGCCUUACCCUGGUCAUGACACAUCAAAGCUUACAGCAUUUGAAUUGCAAAAUUUGAGGCCUAUAAUUAGUGAGAAAUAACACACAGAAUAAUCUUAACGUGUCAGAGACUCCCAAGGUAAUUUCUGUUGCUAUCAAAAUAAUUCAGUGAGUCAUAAGUUUCUUUGCAAUGUUGGUCACAAUCCUUUGCGAAGUGCAAUUCAUGCAACCUGGAUUCAAUGUUCAUAUAAGUAUCAUUCCUGCAAUUGCUCUUAUUCUUGUAAUCCUCUAUUUUUCUAGGACAAGUUGCAAAAUUGUAACAAUUUCAUCCUUGUGUCAGAAAGACCCUGCAUUUCAAAAUCACAAACAUUUCCAGUGUUAGGACCUUAAGGCAAAUAAGAAGCUACGAAUUCAAGUUUAUUGGGAAAAAAAGGAGAUGAGAGAAAGCGCUGUUUGUCCCAGGCAAACAAGACAGUCUUCGUUCUACAUCAAAGGCCAGAAAAAUAUCAGAUAUAAUUAAUAUUUCAUUCUGGAAGAUUUUUUCCAGUGUCCUUAAAAGUAGUAUUUCCUGCAUAGACUUCAAAGUGAAAUUCUGCAAAAUCCUUUUAGACCUCUGUGCUAAAAGAAUUACAUAGAAAAGAGUUGAUGCCAUAAAGGGACAAAGAAAUUCCAAAGUCCUGUGUUAAGCAAAGAAGAAGGGGCCAGGGCAUUUUGGAUAAAUGAGACCAAGCUGUGAAUGCCUCAACUAGUUUGGCAACUAUUCACAACUCUGCUUCUGCGGGAGUUGUGGGGCCCAGCACCAUACACCAAGGGACCUGGGAGAGCCUCACCCACCUGUGCAUUGGGCAGUAGGCAGACAGACCCCAGUAUGGACUGUGGAACUGCCAGCAGCUUGGAAACUGGCUCUCUUUUCAACCGGCUGGAAUCUGGGAGCACCUGGAAAAUGCUGACUUGGGCAGAUAACCCACAGACAAGAGAGACUAUGCAGAAGUCCCAAGUGUCUAGAGGAGAAGUUCAGCGCUCUGUCGGAACAAAAACAAAACAAAACAAAACAAAACAAGAGUUUGGAUGCAUUUGAGUGGGUAAGAGGAACUUUGCCCACCUUACCCUUCCCCCUAAGACAGCACAGUUUAGAGAAAGAGGAGGCCAAGUAUCCUUUCCUUGGGAGACAGGGAGGGCAGUGAGUGAGCUCCUGGGAGGGGGUGGGGCAGUUGGCACAAUAAGUGAAAGGAAUUAAGAGGUAUAAACUUCCAGUUAUAAAAUGAAUAAGUCAUAGAGAUGUAAUGCAUAGCACAGGGAAUAUAGUCAACAAUAUUGUAAUAACUUUGUCUGGUGACCGAUGGUAAGUAGACUUAUUGUGGGGAUCAUUUCAGAAUGUAAUAAAAGAAAAAAAAUCCGAUUAAAAAAUGGGCA